rnacentral:lncRNA from 1 species
UGAUGAUCACGCUCUAUUCAUCCUAUCCGCGUUCCAUCCAUCCAUUUUUCCAUUAAUCUCCAAUAACUUAUUGGAAUUUAGCGCAAUUUAAUUUUCUUUCUCUCUCUUUUUUUUGUUUUCAGAAGAGUGAAAUAAAUGAAUAAACGAAGGAAAGGAAAGGAAGGGAAAAAAAGAAAGAAAGAAGAAAAGAAAAGGGAAGGAGAAGAACAAUGGCCACGGCGUCAUUUGGGAGGGAUCGAAUGAGUGGCGAGUUAUUUCAUCGAUUCCCCAGGAUUCUCUAGCAAUAGUCCCCGUUUACGAGCGUGAAAUGGUAGCCGAUGGCGAAGAAUAAAAGCUACGCGCCUGGAUAAUGACAGGAUUUGGCUAGGCGAUAACUGGAAGAAGGAAAGAAUUAUAGGCUGCGAGAGUAGGCUCGUAAGCAUCAGGCCUUCAGGAGGUUUUAACGGCGAUUCAACGCCGUUCUCCUGGCCACCUUCUUCUCUUCCUUACUUUGUGAUUUUUGAACGCGCCACGAACGAGGAAACGAUGGAGGAACGGAUAUCUUUGGUGGCACGAUAUUGGAAUACGACGAGGGAAAUCGAGUAGUCUGUUAAGAUGUUGGAUUAAAAUACAAAUGAAUUUUUUAAAAUCUGGUCGUUCAAAUUUCAUUUCAUUCGAUAUUUUAAAAGUUCACCAGUUGAGUAUAUAGGUUAGAUUGGAUUCGAUUCUAACCAAAUUGGCCUGCACAUAAAGAGAAAAGUGACAAGAGAUAAGCAGGAAGUUGUUCAAAUCGCUAUCACUACGAGUAUCCCCUAUAAUCCUCUCGAUAUUACACUCCUACGUGCUUAUCGGAAAUCAGUUAAAAAAAAAAAAGAAAUAUUCACGGUGGAGUCACGGUUCGUAGAGAAAUGGUCCAAAUACCUAGUUUAUAUCCUGGUGACCUGGUUGACCAUUUACGCACGACUGCAUACGAAGAAUAUUAAUUACGCGUCAACGACUCACCAAGUAUUCCGCAUUGACGUGGCGGAAGUAGGUCCGCCACGCGUUAAAUGCCACGAAGCAUCUUCACAACGGCGACACGAAUAAUUUGGCGUGAUAAUUGUCUGGCUAAACAGCCGCGAAUGCGGCUAAGAACGUGGGGCAAAAAACUGUCUGCGGAAUACCGAAUGUACCGUUUAUGAGAACGUGAGAUGUGUGUAUAUACGUAUAUAUACAUUUGAAAGAGAAUUGGUGGUAUUUGAGGAAACAUUAAUUGCACGAGCUCAGCAAAAAUUCAACGUUGGAAAAUGAAAUUGCGAGAAAAUUUCUUCUCUAAUCCCUCGACAUCCCUGAGGGAAAAAGUCUUCCUGUAAUACCGACCGAGACUAUAAACGUGAACGUAGCCGCGAUUCACUUAAGCACCGACAAUUGGCCAAAUUAAAUUCCAGGGAUCGAAACGUGGACGCGCCAAUUGAUCGAUUAACUUGGAUUUGAAUACGAAGUGGUGUUUCUUUCCUAUUUUCUUGUCUUCAAAAUAAAAACCAACAUAUGUAAGUAGCUCAAAAGUGUUAUCGUCGAAAUCACUAUUCAUAUUUUAUGCCAUCACAGGAUCAAGUAAAUUAUUACGAUAUCCAUUUUUAUGUUUUAUUUACGAGAGUAAUUUAAAGUGACACGACCCGAAAGAAACGUAAUCGUGAACGUUCUUGGAGAGAAGGAAGUUUAACAAAUAAUUCAAGGUAAUAUACCAUUAUCUGAAGAAUGUGUAAAACAAACUCUAACAAUAAUUCAUAUUACUGUAUCAUUAAAGUAUUCAUCAAUCGUUUAUUUCAGAUGCACCUUUAAAAAUCCAAUUUGAAAAAGAACAAACUCUAUCGGUCAAAUUACCAUAAUGGACGCCAUUAAAAUGUUCAUCGCGCGUUUAUCCGAACGUGCAAGUUUUCCAAUUUGAAAAGCAACAGACAUCCUGCCAUAAAUUUGAACAACAAUGGGCCGCAUUGUUGUCGAUAAAUUCAUUGCGCAACGCGUUCGUUUAUCUCGUUGCCAUCCACUAACUUGAAUAAGCUAAUUUUCCAACUCGAAAAAUAUUUCGCCAUCAAUUCGAAUUCACAACAAACUUUAACAAUAGCAACGCGUUAUUGUUCUAUACAAGUAUUGGUCGCGCGAUCUUCAAGCUCGUCUCGUUAACCCGAAUAAUCCUUCUCCAUAUUUGCCUCGUCACGAAAGUGGUCGAGCCGAUAAUGAGUUCAUCGACGAUUACGCCAGCGACGUGGCUCGCGUGCAAAUACGCUUAUGUCACCGAUGCUGCAGCCUGCUCGAGCCAUCUUUAUUCGGUCAUCGAUCCUUCGACUCUCUCACCUUGUCCUCUUAUCUUUCCACGCGAUCCACGUUACUCGUAUAAUAGUACUUACUUAUAUUACGCAGUGACGGGUUGCGAUGCUUCUCAAGCAAUAUAAAUUCUUGGCUGAGCUGGAAGAAUCAUGGUUUCGAGUCUUGGUAAAUUUCACUUGAUAUCGGUGAACUUAAUAAGUGUGAUCUUAAGAGCCUUUGAUACAUCAUCAAAUAAAUAAUUAAACUCAAAAUCGUAGCGAAAACGAUAAGAAAGAACGGUGUCGUACCCAUCGCUACUCCGUCUAUAAAUUAUUACCUACGAUAGCUUACGAUAGAGAGAAAAGAAAAAGACCAUUAUUGUAACCAGCCAUUUUCUCAGAAUUACUUGCUAGACUCAUUACGAUCCCAUUAACGUUAUCUUGGAACUUGAUAUAACUCGAUAUUAAGGCGUGUAUUAAUAUCAAUUUCGACUAUCCACUCUUUUCCUACAUCAUGAAUCUAAUUAAAUGCCUCGGCAUAAAAUUGUUUGUUG